rnacentral:rRNA from 1 species
AACGAACGCUGGCGGCAGGCCUAACACAUGCAAGUCGAGCGAAGCCUUCGGGCUUAGCGGCGGACGGGUGAGUAACGCGUGGGAACGUGCCCUUUGGUACGGAAUAGCCCCGGGAAACUGGGAGUAAUACCGUAUGUGGUCGAGAGACGAAAGAUUUAUCGCCAAAGGAUCGGCCCGCGUUGGAUUAGGUAGUUGGUGGGGUAAUGGCCUACCAAGCCGACGAUCCAUAGCUGGUUUGAGAGGAUGAUCAGCCACACUGGGACUGAGACACGGCCCAGACUCCUACGGGAGGCAGCAGUGGGGAAUCUUAGACAAUGGGGGGAACCCUGAUCUAGCCAUGCCGGGUGAUCGAUGAAGGCCUUAGGGUUGUAAAGAUCUUUCAGUGGGGAAGAUAAUGACUGUACCCACAGAAGAAGCCCCGGCUAACUCCGUGCCAGCAGCCGCCGUAACAC